rnacentral:misc_RNA from 1 species
GAUGAAGAACGCAGCGAAAUGCGAUAAGUAAUGUGAAUUGCACAAUUCAGUGAAUCAUCGAAUCUUUGAACGCACAUUGCGCCCGCCAGUAUUCUGGCGGGCAUGCCUGUUCGAGCGUCAUUUCCACCAUCAGGCCCCCGGGCCUGUGUUGGGGACCUGCGGCUGCCCGCAGGCCCCGAAAUUCAGUGGCGGUCGCGCCGUAGCAACCGAGCGUAGUAACUAAAACGUCUCGCUCUGGCUCGCUGGGCGCGCUCCGGCCGUAAAACACCCCCCCUUUUCGCAAAGGUUGACCUCGGAUCAGGUAGGAAUACCCGCUGAACUUAAGCAUAUCAAUAAGCGGAGGA